rnacentral:rRNA from 1 species
AUUGAACGCUGGCGGCAUGCCUUACACAUGCAAGUCGAACGGCAGCGCGGGGCAACCUGGCGGCGAGUGGCGAACGGGUGAGUAAUAUAUCGGAACAUACCCUAGAGUGGGGGAUAACGUAGCGAAAGUUACGCUAAUACCGCAUACGCACUAAGGUGGAAAGUGGGGGAUCUUCGGACCUCAUGCUCAUGGAGUGGCCGAUAUCUGAUUAGCUAGUUGGUGAGGUAAAGGCUCACCAAGGCGACGAUCAGUAGCUGGUUUGAGAGAACGACCAGCCACACUGGAACUGAGACACGGUCCAGACUCCUACGGGAGGCAGCAGUGGGGAAUUUUGGACAAUGGGGACAACCCUGAUCCAGCAAUGCCGCGUGAGUGAAGAAGGCC